CCCUUCUCAGGGUCACACCUGGAGAGUUUCCAGUACUCUACCAGUCUGGGCAAUGGGAGGGAGAGUCAAGCAGAGGCAGACCCAUUCCAUUCCUAGCUUGAGCAGUGGCUAGUGAGUGGAAGGCAAUCUGCUACACGU